GACGUAGGGCGCGAGCGUUGUCCGGAUUUAUUGGGCGUAAAGGGCUCGUAGGCGGCUUGUCGCGUCGACCGUGAAACCUCACAGCUCAACUGUGAGCCUGCGGUCGAUACGGGCAGGCUAGAGUUCGGUAGGGGAGAGUGGAAUUCCUGGUGUAGCGGUGAAAUGCGCAGAUAUCAGGAGGAACACCGGUGGCGAAGGCGGGUCUCUGGGCCGAUACUGACGCUGAGGAGCGAAAGCGUGGGGAGCGAACAGG
rnacentral:rRNA from 1 species